CUCUGUGACUCCUACGGGAGGCAGCAGUGGGGAAUAUUGCACAAUGGGGGAAACCCUGAUGCAGCCAUGCCGCGUGUGUGAAGAAGGCCUUCGGGUUGUAAAGCACUUUCAGUAGGGAGGAAGGUAGUGUAGUUAACACCUGCACUAUUUGACGUUACCUACAGAAGAAGCACCGGCUAACUCCGUGCCAGCAGCCGCGGUAAUACGGAGGGUGCGAGCGUUAAUCGGAAUUACUGGGCGUAAAGCGCAUGCAGGUGGUUUGUUAAGUCAGAUGUGAAAGCCCGGGGCUCAACCUCGGAAUUGCAUUUGAAACUGGCAGACUAGAGUACUGUAGAGGGGGUAGAAUUUCAGGUGUAGCGGUGAAAUGCGUAGAGAUCUGAAGGAAUACCGGUGGCGAAGGCGGCCCCCUGGACAGAUACUGACACUCAGAUGCGAAAGCGUGGGGAGCAAACAGGAUUAGAUACCCUGGUAG
rnacentral:rRNA from 1 species